ACGCUCGACACCUACGGGAGGCAGCAGUUAGGAAUAUUGGGCAAUGGAGGGAAACUCUGACCCAGCAACGCCGCGUGAAGGAAGAAGGUUUUCGGAUUGUAAACUUCUGAUCUAGGGGAAGAAGGAAGUGACGGUACCCUAGGAGAAGCCACGGCUAACUACGUACCAGCAGCCGCGGUAAUCUGAGCGGGCUGGCAAGGC
rnacentral:rRNA from 1 species